rnacentral:antisense_RNA from 1 species
CUUCAGCGAGCCGAGCCGCAGCGGCUGGUCCCGGUCACGCCCGUAGGCGGCCAGCAGGGCGCGGGCCUC